AAAAGGAUCCGAGUUUGUUCACUGAUGGAGAGGGGCACUUAGAGCAAGAUACCCGACCUUGACUGGGGACCAAGCACGAAAUCCCUAAGAGGUGACAGGAAGAGAGAAGUCUGAAACGUUAAGUGAGUUAACCAGAUGGUGUCAGAAGUGGAAUCCAAAGAAGAGCUAACAACCCCCAGGAGCGCUGAGCGUGGUUCCCACUCGGCCCAUUGUGCCCAUUGCUCUCUUGGAGCAGCUGGGGAUCGUGAGUUUCGCUCUUGUUUCCCAGGCUAGAGUACAAUGGCACAAUCACGGGUCACCGCAACCUCCACCCCCUGGGCUCAAGUGAUUCCCCUGCCUCAGCCUCCUGAGU
rnacentral:lncRNA from 1 species